rnacentral:rRNA from 1 species
GAAAAGAGUAGGGAAGUGUGUGAGCCAUGCGUCAAGAAAAGCUGCUAUUGUUCUUACUGUACCCGUACCGUAAACCGACACAGGUGGAUGAGGAGAGAAUCCUAAGGCCGGCGGAAGAAGCAUUGUUAAGGAACUCGGCAAAAUGACCCUGUAACUUCGGGAGAAAGGGUGCCCUCGUAAGAGGGCCGCAGAGAAUAGGCUCAAGCAACUGUUUAGCAAAAACACAGGUCUAUGCAAAACCGUAAGGUGAGGUAUAUGGGCUGACGCCUGCCCGGUGCUGGAAGGUUAAGAGGAGAGGUUAGCGAAAGCGAAGCUUUGAAUUUAAGCCCCAGUAAACGGCGGCCGUAACUAUAACGGUCCUAAGGUAGCGAAAUUCCUUGUCGGGUAAGUUCCGACCCGCACGAAAGGCGUAAUGAUUUGAGCACUGUCUCGACAAUGCAUCCGGUGAAAUUGAAGUACCAGUGAAGAUGCUGGUUACCUGCGCCAGGACGGAAAGACCCCAUGGAGCUUUACUCCAGUUUGGUACUGGGAUCCGGUAUUGCAUGUACAGGAUAGGUGGGAGGCUGAGAAACGGUUACGCCAGUAGCCGCGGAGCCAAUGUUGGGUUACCACCCUUGCAGUAUUGGGUUUCUAACCAGCCGCCGUGACCCGGCGGUGGGACAAUGCCAGGCGGGGAGUUUGACUGGGGCGGUCGCCUCCGAAAGGGUAUCGGAGGCGCUCAAAGGUUCCCUCAGAAUGGUUGGAAACCAUUCGAAGAGUGCAAAGGCAGAAGGGAGCUUGACUGCGACACCGACGGGUGGAGCAGGUACGAAAGUAGGACUUAGUGAUCCGGUGGUAUUAAGUGGGAAUGCCAUCGCUCAACGGAUAAAAGCUACCCUGGGAUAACAGGCUUAUCACUCCCAAGAGUUCACAUCGACGGAGUGGUUUGGCACCUCGAUGUCGGCUCAUCGCAUCCUGGGGCUGUAGUAGGUCCCAAGGGUUGGGCUGUUCGCCCAUUAAAGCGGUACGCGAGCUGGGUUCAGAACGUCGUGAGACAGUUCGGUCCCUAUCCGGCGUGGGCGUAGGAUAUUUGAGAGGAGCUGUCCUUAGUACGAGAGGACCGGGAUGGACUGACCUCUGGUGUACCGGUUGCACCGCCAGGUGCAUGGCCGGGUAGCCAAGUCGGGAAGGGAUAAACGCUGAAGGCAUCUAAGCGUGAAGCCCCCCUCAAGAUGAGAUAUCCCAUGCGAAAGCAAUAAGACCCCUUGAAGACGACGAGGUAGAUAGGGCAGAGGUGGAAGUGCAGUAAUGUAUGGAGCUGACUGUCACUAAUAGGUCGAAGGCUUGACC